rnacentral:lncRNA from 1 species
ACGUGAGGAGUGAAAGGUUGAUAAGACCUUCGGGGAUGACAUUCUUUGGAGUUCGGCGCAUGUCUUUAAGUGGGAGAAUUGAUAGGUUGAAGCCCAUGUGAAAGAGGCCUGUAGCAGUAGAAGCUCGGCAGUAGCCAGGCACCGACCCAGGCUCAGCCAACCAUGUGCGGGUGCAUGCAGGAGCAUGCACGGGCCGGCCCAGCAGAGUGCAGUCACGACGUACAGCGGCUUACCACGUUCUCACGAUCCACG